rnacentral:misc_RNA from 1 species
ACAAACUUGGUCAUUUAGAGGAAGUAAAAGUCGUAACAAGGUUUCCGUAGGUGAACCUGCGGAAGGAUCAUUACCGAACUGUCAAACGUGGUUGUUGCUGGCCUUCGAAAGGGGGCACGUGCACGCUUCGUUUACACAUCCACUUCACACCCGUGCACCCUCUGUAGUUCUAUAGUCUGGGGGACCCUGUUCUCCUUCUGUAGCCCUACGUUUUUACACACACACCGUAACAACGUCUUGUGGAAUGCUUUCUGCGUUUAACGCAAUACAGUACAACUUUCAGCAACGGAUCUCUUGGCUCUCGCAUCGAUGAAGAACGCAGC